GCUGGUGUGGCGGAAUUGGUCAGACACGCACGACUCAAAAUCGUGUUCCGUGAGGAGUAUCGGUUCGACCCCGAUCACCGGUA
rnacentral:tRNA from 1 species